rnacentral:rRNA from 1 species
GAUGAACGCUGGCGGCGUGCCUAAUACAUGCAAGUCGAGCGAACAGACGAGGAGCUUGCUCCUCUGACGUUAGCGGCGGACGGGUGAGUAACACGUGGAUAACCUACCUAUAAGACUGGGAUAACUUCGGGAAACCGGAGCUAAUACCGGAUAACAUGUUGAACCGCAUGGUUCAACAGUGAAAGACGGUCUUGCUGUCACUUAUAGAUGGAUCCGCGCCGCAUUAGCUAGUUGGUAAGGUAACGGCUUACCAAGGCAACGAUGCGUAGCCGACCUGAGAGGGGGAUCGGCCACACUGGAACUGAGACACGGUCCAGACUCCUACGGGAGGCAGCAGUAGGGAAUCGUCCGCAAUGGGCGAAAGCAUGACGGAGCAACGCCGCGUGAGUGAAGAAGGUCUUCGGAUCGUAAAACUCUGUUAUUAGGGAAGAACAAAUGUGUAAGUAACUAUGCACGUAUUGACGGUAACUAAUAAGAAAGCCACGGCUAACUACGUG